GCAAGAAGUGGCUGAGUGGUUUAGGCGAUGGACUGUAAAUCCACGGUGUAUGCCGACAUAGGUUCGAGUCCUAUCUUCUGCA
rnacentral:tRNA from 1 species